AAGAAAUGUCAUCUGCUUUCUAAUUUAAUUCCCUUUUUUCUACUCUUUAUUAUUUUUCCUUAUUAUAGAAGAAAUGGUUUUCCAUUAAUACAAAAUUCAGACAUCAUCAAAACUAUAAUAAACAUUUGCUGUGAUCCUACCUGCUAAAGAUAACCAUCAUUAAGUUCAAUGCAUAGUCUUCCUUUUUCAUAUUUAUACAUAUGCUAACAUAUAUUAGAAUUAUUCAUUUACUUUUACAAGAAGAAGGUCAGGCUGGGGACAUGGAGGGCUCCUACCUGCGUAAGCAGAGGUCUUGCACCUGCAUAAGCAGGGCCAUGAUCAUGCCUGUAAUCCCAGUGCUUUGAGAGGCCACGGCAGGGAGUCUCUUGAGUCCAGGAGUUCUAGACCAGCCUGCACAACAGGGUGAAACCCCAUGUCUACAAAAAAUUUAAACUUAGCUGAGUUUAAUGGUAUGUGCCUGUGGUCCUAGCUACUUAGGAGGCUGAGGCAGGGGGACACCUUGGGCCUAGGAGGUCAAGGCUACAGUGAGCCAUGAUCAUGCUACUGUACUCCAGCCUGGGUGACAGAGCAAGACCAUGUCAAAAAAAAAAAAAAGUCACAAAUAAUGUUGCAAUUUUUCUACCACUUUUAAAAUCCUUUGAAACAUUUCUUGUGUUGGUAUAUGUAGAUCUUAUCUGACUGUAUUCUUGUAAAUAGAUAUAUAACAUAACAUUGGGUGCACCACAGACUAUUUAUUUAUUUAUCUGGUGGAAAUCUUAUUCCUCCCCCUCAUGUUGCAUGAGGGAACUUACAUUCCCAGGGUAUAACACUAUUAGUGAUUCCAGACUUCAUUCUCUCCCCUAGGUGGGAAUGAUUUAUCUUACUGUUGAAACUAGGAGAAGAAACUAGGCAUAAGCGGCCCUGCCCUCUUUGAGCUUUUAGUCCCAGUGGCUGGCCGUCAAAGAUGCCAGGAGUACAGUGACUGGGGGACCUCUGCUUCUGCAGGUGGGAGACUGAAUCCUGGGUGGGCGUAUUAGUCUGUUCUCACGCUGCUAUAAAGAACUGCCUGAGACUGGGUAACUUAUGAAAGAAAGAGGUUUAAUUGACUCACAGUUCCACAUGGUUGGGGAGGCCUCAGGAAACUUACAAUCAUGGCAGAAGGGGAAGCAAACACAUCCCUCUUCACAUGAUGGCAGGACGGAGAAGUGCCAAGCAAAGGGGAAAAAGGCCCUUAUAAAACCAUCAGAUCUCAUGAGAUCUCAUUCACUAUCACAGAACAGCAAGGGAGUAACUGCUCCCAUGAUUCAAUUACCUCCCACUGGAUCCCUCCCAUGACACAUGGGGAUUACAGGAACUACAAUUCAAGAUGAGAUUUGGGGACACAGCCAAAUAUCAAUGGGCCAUCUUGGAGAGUGGAGGAAGGAAAUAGAAAGCUCACCUGUGGCCUCAUAUUUUGCUUACAUUCUCCAGUGAAGUUUAGUGUGGAUUUUGAAUUUCAUCUGUCCUAAGCUUAUGGCUUUUCAAAAAAAAAAAAAAAA
rnacentral:lncRNA from 10 species